rnacentral:rRNA from 1 species
GACGAACGCUGGCGGCGUGCCUAAUACAUGCAAGUGGGACGCAAGGAAACACACUGUGCUUGCACACCGUGUUUUCUUGAGUCGCGAACGGGUGAGUAACGCGUAGGUAACCUGCCUAUUAGCGGGGGAUAACUAUUGGAAACGAUAGCUAAUACCGCAUAAUAUUAAUUAUUGCAUGAUAAUUGAUUGAAAGAUGCAAGCGCAUCACUAGUAGAUGGACCUGCGUUGUAUUAGCUAGUUGGUAAGGUAAGAGCUUACCAAGGCGACGAUACAUAGCCGACCUGAGAGGGUGAUCGGCCACACUGGGACUGAGACACGGCCCAGACUCCUACGGGAGGCAGCAGUAGGGAAUCUUCGGCAAAGGACGAAAGUCUGACCGAGCAACGCCGCGUGAGUGAAGAAGGUUUUCGGAUCGUAAAGCUCUGUUGUAAGUCAAGAACGUGUGUGAGAGUGGAAAGUUCACACAGUGACGGUAGCUUACCAGAAAGGGACGGCUAACUACGU